GAUGAACGCUGGCGGCGUGCCUAAUACAUGCAAGUCGAGCGAACAGACGAGGAGCUUGCUCCUCUGACGUUAGCGGCGGACGGGUGAGUAACACGUGGAUAACCUACCUAUAAGACUGGGAUAACUUCGGGAAACCGGAGCUAAUACCGGAUAACAUAUUGAACCGCAUGGUUCAAUAGUGAAAGACGGUUUUGCUGUCACUUAUAGAUGGAUCCGCGCCGCAUUAGCUAGUUGGUAAGGUAACGGCUUACCAAGGCAACGAUGCGUAGCCGACCUGAGAGGGUGAUCGGCCACACUGGAACUGAGACACGGUCCAGACUCCUACGGGAGGCAGCAGUAGGGAAUCUUCCGCAAUGGGCGAAAGCCUGACGGGGCAACGCCGCGUGAGUGAUGAAGGUCUUCGGAUCGUAAAACUCUGUUAUUAGGGAAGAACAAAUGUGUAAGUAACUAUGCACGUCUUGACGGUACCUAAUCAGAAAGCCACGGCUAACUACGUG
rnacentral:rRNA from 1 species